GCUAUAUGAUACAAUCUUGAGCAUUGGUAAAGAUAAAUUUUAUACAGUAAUAUACGGAAAAGAAAAGUAGAUAACAUAUCGAAGCUCCUAUACAAGAAAAUAUAUACACAAACGUUGAUCUAGUGGUUUCACAAAGGACCAAAAACAGCCUGUAAAAUUUUAAACUUUGACAGACCCAAAAACCAUCUGGACCUGCUUCAGUUUUAAUUGACAAGUACAUGAAUAAAAUAUUCAAUAAGCUGAUCCGGUGCUCUGAUGAAGUUGUUGAUUCCUUCAGCGUGGCCAAACUCACGCGCAGAUGGUACCUGACAGUCAAAAUUUCCUUGUUCUCUUGAAUUUACUUUCUUAAAGGAUCAUACUUAAAAUUUCCGGGUAGAUCACUAACCUACCAUGUGAUUUCUAAGAUAUCACUGGCCUCCCUAACAGUCUCUGAUCAUCUGACUAAUUUUUGGUUUAAAUUCUACUGCUUCUAACAGUUUUGAGAUGCCUUACUUUUAUAUAAUUUAGGGAUUUAUAAAAAAUUUUUGACUUCCAAUGAAGUUGUUCACCAAUGUUAUGUGGCAAAAUCUACACAAAUGAUAAGCACUUGAUCUUAGCGGCAGGGAUAUGCCAGUGAUACUUCGGAAAGCACAAACGAAAAAGAAAACAUAUUCAUUCAGAUAUUUCAGGGUGAAAUCAAAGGAUUAAACGUAUAUAUGUGUAUAGAAAAGCAUAAAAAAAAUCUCUGUGAGGUGCCUGAAGCAUACUUAUCAUUAACAGCUUUCUCAUUCUGUUUGAACAUUCAAACAGCAUACAACCUUAUAACCUGGUCAAUCUUGGCACGACACACAGGGCAACCCCAUUUCUUUCUUUUGACCUCCUUUAAACAAGACAUGCAACCAGCCAUAUGGCCACAUGGGAUGCAUGCCCCCUCAAUUGGAGCAUCCAAACAUAUAAUGCAAGAUGAAGAAGCACCAUCUUCUCUCUUUUCACCUGUACUAGCUGUUAAGUUCACAGCUGGGGAAGACAUUUCAAUAGGACUAGAAUCAAUUGAUGGAUAGUGAAUUGGACUGUCUUCUACAAUCUCAUCUAUGAUGGGUGUAGCUGAUGGGACUGAAUCAAGGGCUUGAGUAGCUGUCUGCACAGUAGGGAUGUUAGUAUUCUGGAUCACUUGCUGAGUUGAAUUGCCACCAGGGCCAGCUUCAUUUGCGGUCCAAAAAUUACUAGUUGCUUUUGAAGGAGGAGCACUUUGACUGCCAGCAUGCACAUUCCAACUUGUGGAAGCACUUGCUUCACCAGAGUAAGUAUCAUUAACUGGUGCCUCUGCCAUAGCAGACUGGAUGGAGGCAUUGAUUGCCAUUGCUAAUUCUAACUCUUCUCCAGAUGGAGGGGCUGUUGCUUGAAUGGUUGAAGACUCAGAAUUAUUUAGAAAUGCAGGAGGAUGCAUUGCCUGCAAUAUUCCAAACAUUCCCAUCACAUACUACUGACAGACAAGGCACUUCAAUUUAAAGGAUUUAACGGUCACAACAUUUUAGCAGAGAAACAUCUGAGCUAAAUGUAAACAAUGAAAAUUAACUAAAAUGAUGUAUAAUUCAUAUGGAACAUGAAGUUUUCUACUUCUAUAAUAUGAAGGCACCAACUACCAAAAGCAACUUUCUUACAUGUCAUCUAGAAGCAAAACAUACCCUGGGAAUAUUGAAGACUUGAAAGAAUUAUGGAAUUAGAAGAAUUCAAUGAAGAAGAGACAAGAUAGUUCUGAGCCCAAAUUUACCACUGAACUGAAGCUAACAGAGAUGAUAUAUCUCAGUGAAGGUAAAGAAAGAAACAUGCUCCACAUAAUCUCUCUCUCAGAUCAUAGUGAAGGUGAAGGAAUAUGCUCUAACAAUAAAUUAUAUCUACACAUAUAACAGUAUGGCACUACUGACAAUUUCAUGAAUAGUGACACGUCAUAAUAAAGGUCCAUAUCAGGAAAACUUCAGAGGAGUUUUAAGCAUGAGCUACCACUUGUGCAAUGACCAGAGCCCACAACUCUCAAAGGCUAUGAACAUUACCCUUUACUAAAGGGCUUUUCAGCAAUGAUGCUGGCAAGUAAAAUAGCAAAGCUUAAAUUUCAAAUGAAUUCAGAAGACUUAAAAAUAACUUCUUCCAACAGAGUGUUAGAUGAAGGCAUACAUUACUAAUAAGUCUUGUUUUAGCUUUCAGCAAUUAGCCACAAAUAACAGAAAUACAAUGUUCCAAUCAUCCCACACAUUUGUAUAACAAGUCAAUUUCGGAAAUAUAUUGGUCCAGGGAAAUUUUCUUUUCCAGGUGGUAAAUUUUCUCUAGCUUGGUCCAGGCAAAUUUUUCUUUGCCACAAGCCAGAACAAUUUUAAUGCUUGUUUGACAAAUAAUAAAUAUCUUCAAGCUGGGAACUACUUCUUCACAUAUGCAAUACUGAAAUGAUGAAAAGAUGGUCCAAGACUCUCAUAGCUUCAUUUUUUAUCAAUAUGAAAUGAAAAUAUUAAAAUUCUUCAGUAUUAUGGGUUUUAGUUUUACAUAGUUUUUAAGAAUUUUACGCAAAAUUAAAUAACUAAGGAGAUCCCUAUGUUGAUCAGAAAAUCCGUCUGUUUAAUCAUACAAAUGAUGAUUUUCAUUUUUAAAUCAGUGAUGCGCAAAAAUCCUGAAGCAAACAUGUUCCGGGAAAAGGUGUUUUAAUAGACUCCAUUCUUUCCAAAGGCAUCAACCAGUUGGUUAUUGAAAAAGAACAAUGACGCUUUACAACUUUAGAAAUUAUAGUACUAUCAAAAAAGUUGUUCCUCAAAAGAAAUUAUGGUAUCGAUAAACAAGUGAUAAAAUAUCCACAAAUACUUUGCAUAUUGUCCAUCACCAUAAAAGCUUUCUAUUGCUCUAUGCACCCAGGAAGAAUAACAACUUACAGAAAGUGCAAUUUGUACCUGUGGAAUUCCUUUGCAUGCAUCACAGAACCACUGAAGCUGCUGCUUAUCACCUUCAUUUGCAGGUGCAAGUCUAAUGCGUGUUUCUGACAAGAAAACAUACCGGUCUGAGAAUAAAACAAUCACGAGAUCAAAUUAAUUUCUAUGGAGUGAAAAAUUUUCCUAGCUAUCUUAAAAGUCUACUUCAAAUUGGAGGCUGGAGCAUGGAAAGGAUGCCCUAUAUGUCUGAGUGUUCAUUUGGAUUAUCUCUAAUUCCUUAUGUUAUCAUCCAUGAAUCGUUUAUAUCUACCUUAAAAAUAAUUCAGGGACUAUCAUACUUACGCCUAACUGUUUGAGGCCUAUGCCUCGCUCGUCUCCUCCUCCUGCCUCUUGGGACUAUGCAUGAACAAAAAUCAAAUGUAAAUGUAAAAUCAAGGCAAUCAAUGCCAAAUCAAUUCCAAGAGACCAAAAGAUAUUAUCUAAGGGAAGAGUAAAAGACUAGAAAAAAUAUAUGUAUGAUCAACUUCAAGAAAAGUCAUUUCAGUGUUUAGAAAUUACUGGUGGCAUUGUUGACGAUUAUCACUGAAGUAUCAGAAUGGUGAAGUUUUGGUUCCUCCAAAUUAGCUUUCCACAAUGCAAUCAGUGUACGUGGUUGGGCAUCCUGGUCAUUUGUUAACAGUAGUUCAUAAGUAACUUCCAAUUCUUCAGGGCCUCAAACAAUGAAAACAUGUAAGCUCGGACAGGGUUAUGGAAUCAAAGCUACUAAACUUAAGUUAGAAGUUCUUUUUCUAAUUCCUAAAUCAGGGCGAAAACUGAUUAGAAUAAAGAAUUAGAAAACUAACAACAUAGAGAGCGAAAGAUUAGUAUUUAUGUAUAUAACUAUCCUACACAUAGAAUAUAAAGAAAAUGAAUUAAACUUCAAAUGAAGCCUAAGACAAUUAUAAAAAAGUAUCACUAAGGCAGUGACUAGACCUAAAAAUAAUUCUUGCAUGCAGUAAAAUAUCAAAAGCAUAGAUUACUUAAUUUUGCAGUGAAAUUAGUUAUUCAAUUAUCUUGCACACUUGCGAAUAUAGUUGUGAUACCUGUGAACUGGAAUAUAUGGCAAGCUCCAACUUGAAAGGCCUAAUAGGGUGACGGGAACCAAUUGGUAAGAUAACUGCCCAACUGCAAAAAAUAACAGUCAUAUGUACUUAAGUUUCUUAUGAGAACAAUCCGCUGAUUACGUAUUGAAAGCUACCUAGAAUUAGCAAAUGUUACAUUAACUGUGUCAGGCAAACCGCUUCAGAUUGCUUGGAUGAAACACUUCAAUGAGACAACUUGAACUUUAUACUUACACUUUUCUGGAAACAAACCGAGGGGCUAGCACUUCUAGAAAUCCUGGCCCAUAGAAUUCCCGCAUCCAACCAGAGAAUAAGCAAAUAUGAUUCUCAAUUGUACGAACAACAUCAUUGUAGCCUUUAGCCCUAGCAACUUCAAGUGGAGUUUGACAAUCAUCAUUCAAUACUAAUGCAUUUGCUCCAUGAGAAAGAAGUAACUUAACAGUACUAUCAAGGCCUCUUUUUGCUGCAUGAUGUAAAGGAGUCCCGCCAUUACGACCAGGCCGGUAAGCAUUAACAUUAGCACCGAGCUCUAUCAAAGUUCUAGCCACAUGGUGGAGCUCAGGAUUCAGGCACGCUAAUAUCAAUGGUGUUUUACCAUCUCUAUCAAUCCACUCAAGGCCUGCGCCUUCCCUGCAAAGAGCUUUGAUUCCUUCUGUGUUACCGUAAUUAACUUGCUGAAACAGCAACUCGUCUUUGGAUUGCUGUUGCCCCAUUUUCUCCCUUUUUUGCUUAACGAAAUUGAAAAAGUUGUGUUUGUAUAAAGGAAAAUGGAGUGGUGUUUUCGAGGAAAAUUCGAAGCUUAUAUUUUCCUGGAAAGUCGGAUGAUAGAUCUAUACAAAAUCUAGGCAAACCAAUUUGCGAUUGCUUAAUAAAGAAGAAUUUAGAAAGUCAAUCAUUUUCAAUUAAUAUUAACAUUAAUAAUAUGGGUUAGGAAAAGAAACGGGUGAACUGAACGGACGCGGACGUCACGCGGUGGGACUCGGUCACGGCUGUGUAUU
rnacentral:misc_RNA from 1 species